GCGGCACGCCUCCUUGGCAGGCUGCGUCUCCUUCCAGGAGUGCUUGGAGGUGGCAGGCAGCCCCGCGGCCGGGAAGCUCCGAGGAGAUGCGCCGAUGGCCCCCGCCAGGGACCAGGUGCCGCCCGACCGCCUGGGGUACACGAUAGCAUACUAUAAGUAUUCUACAAGAGACCAUUCUACGAGAGACCAAUACUUGGAAUAGAGCCCAACCCUUUUAGCAGAAAGUAUAAAAAUGCCUAAUAAAACAAUACAUAAAAACCUA